rnacentral:lncRNA from 12 species
CAAAGCUCUAAUUCAAACAAGCAGGCUGGAAAGAAGAGCUCGACUGUGGUACGUUUACUUUGGAAGAAUCGAAAGCUCAACCCAGAGUUGACACUGGAGGGUCCCAUAACUUGAGUUGGACACAUGGAGGCCCAUCUGUGGUCACAUGACAAAUCUGUAGGAACCAAAUACUGAGGUGUACCCAAGCAGCUCCAGGUGACCACCUGCAUCAUUAUAAAGAUACCACUGACUGUGGCGCCGGAAACAGAACAUUCCAUUCUCCGCGUACAGGUAAUCUUGUGUUCCUCCUUGCAUUAGCAAAUCCUCUAACACCUUUUUGAAUUCAACA